rnacentral:rRNA from 1 species
GACGAACGCUGGCGGCGUGCUUAACACAUGCAAGUCGAACGGAAAGGCCCUGCUUUUGUGGGGUGCUCGAGUGGCGAACGGGUGAGUAACACGUGAGUAACCUGCCCUUGACUUUGGGAUAACUUCAGGAAACUGGGGCUAAUACCGGAUAGGAGCUCCUGCUGCAUGGUGGGGGUUGGAAAGUUUCGGCGGUUGGGGAUGGACUCGCGGCUUAUCAGCUUGUUGGUGGGGUAGUGGCUUACCAAGGCUUUGACGGGUAGCCGGCCUGAGAGGGUGACCGGCCACAUUGGGACUGAGAUACGGCCCAGACUCCUACGGGAGGCAGCAGUGGGGAAUAUUGCACAAUGGGCGGAAGCCUGAUGCAGCAACGCCGCGUGCGGGAUGAAGGCCUUCGGGUUGUAAACCGCUUUCGCCUGUGACGAAGCGUGAGUGACGGUAAUGGGUAAAGAAGCACCGGCUAACUACG